rnacentral:tRNA from 2 species
GGCCCAGUGGUUCAGUUGGUUAGAACGCAAGCCUGUCACGCUUGAGGUCGAGGGUUCGAGUCCCUUCUGGGUCG